rnacentral:lncRNA from 1 species
CUACCUCUGAUCAACAUGCCUUCAUUUCCAUGUGCCAAAGUCCUAUUGGAAAAAGGAAGCACAGUAUGCCACACAAAGACACUACGCCGUGCAAGAAGAAGUGCCGAAGUCAUCCCAGCCAUAGAAGGCAUUCUCUUUGUAGUGAGGAAAAAACUGGUCCAAGCAAGAACAGGGGACUCCUGGCUGAAAACCAGGAAUCUAACUCCCCAAAUGGAGACAAAUCUUCGGGUCAGACUUUACUUGGCACUGUCUCAUCUCCAGGGCACAACAUCUUCAAUGUAACAGCAAAUUCCUCCUCAGAUCAUAAACAGCCAAUGCCAAGGAAGCGGCGAAAUGAUAGUGCUCGAGUGGCAGCUUUGAGAGAGAAGCUCAUACAGAAGAAUAGAACCAUCAACAAACUCAGGAUGCAAGUCAAAAGAUCAAAGCAUCCCAAAUCAGCCUCGCUCUCUGCUCGAGAAAUCGUUGCUGCAGUUUAGCGUAAAGUAAGGUCAUGUUUGAUCCGAUGAAGCAAUUGCUAUGUUGAUUUUGCAGAGAGGCACUGAGGGGUGAGAGUAGAGAAUAGAGGAAUAAUGAGUUACCUACUCAGGCAUUUUUCUCUCUAAGAAACUGAAAAUUCAGUGUUAGGUACUUUAAUAAUUAUGGCACUAUCAGAACUGCCAAGUCCUUAAAGUAGUUAAGUAGGCACAUAGUUGCAUUUGAUAAAGAGAAGUUUUUAAGUAACUGGACCUCCCAUAUCUAGGCAAAAGAGGACUCUAAUGUUGAAUAAGAGGAGAUAAUAUGAGCCAAAGAUAGUGUUUUGGGAUGGAGACUAAGAUGAGGUGAAUGAAUAAUGAAAUGCUAUAACAGACAGCAAUUUUAUUGAAUGGCGCUCAUACAGUCAUCAGCUCGAGAUUAAAUAUCUGUGUGCUAGCUCUUCCCUGAAAUAUAGGUAGUGUAAUUUAAAAUUUUAAAGUUGUAGGUUCCUCUGAUGAAACACUGGUAAGGCAUUGAAUUAUUUUUGUUUUUCCUCCCAAUUUAUUAUCAUAAUCAAUCGUAAUGAAUAUAAUUCAAAAUCGAUAAAUCAACUUGAUAACUUUUGUAAGUCUAUGUUUUAUACUCAGUGCUGUAAGGUGUCACAGGAAAGAGAAUAAGUGGAAGGAAGGAGAAAAAAACCCUUGAAAACCCCCAUGAAAGGGCCCUUCUGGCUCCUAAAAAGGUCCCUUCAAAAGACCUCUCUUCUCACAGUAGCUGGGACGUUCUUCAAAGGCCCCCUGAAAAUAAAAAUGGCCUCAAAAAUGAGCCAUUUAAAAAGUUUCCUCUUGACACAGUAUGACCUAAGUACCAUUUUAAAAUGCCCCCAUUUUGUGACUCUAAUUAUAUUUUUUGGCUUUGAUUUUCUUACAUAGUUGUGUGGACUCAGCACUGUUCUAUAUCUUGUUAAAUAUUGUGACAUUUAUUACAAUAUCUGUUAAAGCUGAGCUGUGGCGUAAACAAAGUUAGAUAUACUUGUGGGAGGUCCGAGAGUUAAUUUUAUUCUUCCUGCGAAUAGAAUUGAACAGCCAUGCAUAGUCAUAAAUGUACAGGUGGAGAAGGUUGCCUCUCUCAAGCCUCCCCUUGCUAUGCCCAUGGCUGCAGAAUCAAAGCAAAGGUGUAAACGAAAUGUUCAAUCUUAUUAAAAAUCUUACUGUGAGGCAGAACAUCUGUUUUAUGUAUUGUCGUUUUUAUUCUUACUCUUUAUCGUUUUUAAAUCUUAUAUUAUUCUUGUAAGAUUCAAUUUUUGUAAAUAAAAAUAUUUAUAAUGGGUAGUUCAUUGUGUAUUCUUGACAGAGAACAUUGUACCUAGUGAAAAAUUAUGUAAUGAAAUACAGGGUGUUUCAUACCACCCGUACCAGACCUUUUUCUCGGUUGUUUUAGGUCGUACGAAGUCGGGGACCGCGGGGUUGAAUAGGGAAUCGACCCCAAGGAAUCCGAAUUUUGUGGUCCCGAAACCCCCCCACCCCCCCCUUGGGGGGUAAAGGGGGGGUCACGAUGCUAAAAGUCACGGUUUCCGACCGAAUUGCGGAUAAAUCGCAUCAGAAUUGAAAAGCACGAAAAAUUUCACGUGAAAUUGACCCCUAAAAAUCCAAAAUCGGCCCAUCUAAGACCCAAAAAUGAUCUCCUAAAGAGGGGGACAGUACCCCCCUCCAUAAUUUCUCUUUGGUCUCAAAAUUGACGUAGAUUCUCCAGAAAAAGACGGUUUCCCAGGUAAUCGACCCCGAGAAAGCCAAAUUUCAUGGUCCCGAAGCUCCUGUAGCCCCCCCUGGGGGGUAAACGGGGGGGCCCCAAAUUUUUAGAAUCGGGGCUCCUUUCCGAAUCGCAAAUUGAUUGCAUCCAAAUUGAGGAGCAGAACACAUUUACAUCUUAAGUGACCCUCAAGAGUUCUAAUUGACCCCCCUGAACGGCAGAAAGUAAGCCCCUGAGGAGGGGGGCUACGCCCCCUCCAAAAAUUUCUCAAGAUUCCUCUUUGGUCGCAAAAUUGACGUCGAUUCUCUAGAAAAAGACGGUUUCCCAGAUAAUCAACCCCGAGGAGCUCAGGGACCAUGAAAUUCAGAGUCCUCGGGGU